GCCCUCGUUGUCUAAUGGUUAUGACGUCAGACUUCUACGCCGAAAGCAUUUAUUAUCUGGAGGUUGUGGGUUCGAGUCCCACCGGGGGUA